AUUCGUUCAACAAGCGCUUUGGACCUGACGCUGUUAGACGCCGAGACCCCAGAGAAGAGACGCAGUUACUCAUCUCAAGGGCAGGGUCUGGGUCUUUAUCGUACUGCAGGCUCCACCCAGAAUGGGCACCGAUGUGUGUAGUGACCACUAACAAAAAUGGCUCAGUGGGAGGAGCGGGGGCACCACGGGACAGGCGGUCUGGAAAAUUCCCUAAGGUGAUCUCUGCCUUGGAUGGGCCCUCCACGGCCAGUGACAGACCCCCUGUAGGUGGAGGUGUGGCCAAGAUCAGAGGUCCUGCCCUCACCCCUGCCCCUGGCACCACUGGCUCCUCUGUGGCCUGCAGCAGGUGAGAGGGAACAGUCAGUGACUGGGGAAGGCCCAGGAGUUUGACCCAUGCUAUGACUGAAGCUGGAGAGUGAGGAAAGAACAAGGUAGUUAAUCAUGAAACCAGCGUGGCAGGAGAGGUGCGUCAGCUGCAAGAGAAGGAGUGCUGUGCCCAAGUGGGGUUCCAUCUGCCCAGCCUAACUCUUGCCUGCUCCCCAAGAGGCCCCCAGACCAU
ensembl:lncRNA FLNC-AS1 FLNC antisense RNA 1